CAGUCGCCGCGGGAAUACGAAGGGGGCUAGCGUUGCUCGGAAUGACUGGGCGUAAAGGGCGCGUAGGCGGCGAUCAAAGUCAGGCGUGAAAUUCCUGGGCUCAACCUGGGGGCUGCGUUUGAUACUUGAUUGCUAGAGUGGGGAAGAGGGUCGUGGAAUUCCCAGUGUAGAGGUGAAAUUCGUAGAUAUUGGGAAGAACACCGGUGGCGAAGGCGGCGACCUGGUCCUUGACUGACGCUGAGGCGCGGAAGCGUGGGGAGCAAACAGGAUUAGAUACCCCAGUAGUCCCUGUCUCUUAUAC
rnacentral:rRNA from 1 species